ensembl:misc_RNA Metazoa_SRP Metazoan signal recognition particle RNA
GCCAGGCAUGGUGGCCCAUGUCUGUAGUCCCAGCUGCUCGGGAGGCUGAGGUGGGAGUAUCACUUGAGUCCAGGAGUUCAAGGCCGCAGUGAGCCAUGGUAGUAUCACUGCACGCCAGCCUGGACAACAGAGUGAGACCCUGUCUCUA